rnacentral:misc_RNA from 1 species
AACGCACGAGACCUGCGGACCUGCGGAAGGAUCAUUACUGAAUUGAUUUUGGGGAUGUUGCUGGUCUCUUGAGGCAAUGGUGCACUCCCUCAAACAUUUCACAAUUUCCAUCUUACCCAUGUGCACAUCCUGUAGGUGGUCUCCCAACCCACCCUCCAAGGAAAGGGGGGGAGUGUGUGGGUCUGGUCUCCUAUGUAUUUCCUUGCCAACAUCACACGUUUUGACUGAGUGAAUCCUGUG